UACGAAGGGGGCUAGCGUUGUUCGGAUUUACUGGGCGUAAAGCGCACGUAGGCGGACUUUUAAGUCAGGGGUGAAAUCCCGGGGCUCAACUCCGGAACUGCCAUUGAAACUGUUGAACUUGAGUACGAGAGAGGUGAGUGGAAUUCCCAGUGUAGAGGUGAAAUUCGUAGAUAUUGGGAAGAACACCGGUGGCGAAGGCGGCUCACUGGCUCGUAACUGACGCUCAGGCGCGAUAGCGUGGGGAUCGAACAGG
rnacentral:rRNA from 1 species